rnacentral:rRNA from 1 species
GAUGAACGCUGGCGGCGUGCCUAAUACAUGCAAGUCGAGCGAACGGACGAGAAGCUUGCUUCUCUGAUGUUAGCGGCGGACGGGUGAGUAACACGUGGAUAACCUACCUAUAAGACUGGGAUAACUUCGGGAAACCGGAGCUAAUACCGGAUAAUAUUUUGAACCGCAUGGUUCAAAAGUGAAAGACGGUCUUGCUGUCACUUAUAGAUGGAUCCGCGCUGCAUUAGCUAGUUGGUAAGGUAACGGCUUACCAAGGCAACGAUGCAUAGCCGACCUGAGAGGGUGAUCGGCCACACUGGAACUGAGACACGGUCCAGACUCCUACGGGAGGCAGCAGUAGGGAAUCUUCCGCAAUGGGCGAAAGCCUGACGGAGCAACGCCGCGUGAGUGAUGAAGGUCUUCGGAUCGUAAAACUCUGUUAUUAGGGAAGAACAUAUGUGUAAGUAACUGUGCACAUCUUGACGGUACCUAAUCAGAAAGCCACGGCUAACUACGUGCCAGCAGCCGCGGUAAUACGUAGGUGGCAAGCGUUAUCCGGAAUUAUUGGGCGUAAAGCGCGCGUAGGCGGUUUUUUAAGUCUGAUGUGAAAGCCCACGGCUCAACCGUGGAGGGUCAUUGGAAACUGGAAAACUUGAGUGCAGAAGAGGAAAGUGGAAUUCCAUGUGUAGCGGUGAAAUGCGCAGAGAUAUGGAGGAACACCAGUGGCGAAGGCGACUUUCUGGUCUGUAACUGACGCUGAUGUGCGAAAGCGUGGGGAUCAAACAGGAUUAGAUACCCUGGUAGUCCACGCCGUAAACGAUGAGUGCUAAGUGUUAGGGGGUUUCCGCCCCUUAGUGCUGCAGCUAACGCAUUAAGCACUCCGCCUGGGGAGUACGACCGCAAGGUUGAAACUCAAAGGAAUUGACGGGGACCCGCACAAGCGGUGGAGCAUGUGGUUUAAUUCGAAGCAACGCGAAGAACCUUACCAAAUCUUGACAUCCUUUGACAACUCUAGAGAUAGAGCCUUCCCCUUCGGGGGACAAAGUGACAGGUGGUGCAUGGUUGUCGUCAGCUCGUGUCGUGAGAUGUUGGGUUAAGUCCCGCAACGAGCGCAACCCUUAAGCUUAGUUGCCAUCAUUAAGUUGGGCACUCUAAGUUGACUGCCGGUGACAAACCGGAUGAAGGUGGGGAUGACGUCAAAUCAUCAUGCCCCUUAUGAUUUGGGCUACACACGUGCUACAAUGGACAAUACAAAGGGCAGCGAAACCGCGAGGUCAAGCAAAUCCCAUAAAGUUGUUCUCAGUUCGGAUUGUAGUCUGCAACUCGACUACAUGAAGCUGGAAUCGCUAGUAAUCGUAGAUCAGCAUGCUACGGUGAAUACGUUCCCGGGUCU